GACGAACGCUGGCGGCGUGCUUAACACAUGCAAGUCGAACGGUAAGGCCCUUCGGGGUACACGAGUGGCGAACGGGUGAGUAACGCGUGAGUAACCUGCCCUUCACUCUGGGAUAACAGUUGGAAACGGCUGCUAAUACCGGAUAUUCAGCUCCUGUCGCAUGGUGGGGGUUGGAAAGUUUUGGUGGUGGAGGAUGGGCUCGCGUCCUAUCAGCUUGUUGGUGGGGUGAUGGCCUACCAAGGCGUCGACGGGUAGCCGGCCUGAGAGGGCGACCGGCCACAUUGGGACUGAGAUACCGCCCGAACUCCUACGGGGGGCAGCAGUGGGGAAUAUUGCACCAUGGGCGGAAGCCUGAUGCAGCAACGCCGCGUGCGGGAUGACGGCCUUCGGGUUGUAAACCGCUUUCAGCAGGGACGAAGCGCAAGUGACGGUACCUGCAGAAGAAGCACCGGCUAACUACGUG
rnacentral:rRNA from 1 species